UUUAGACUCUUGGUAUAAUUUAAAAGCUAUUAUAGUUCUACUAUAUGAUGUGGAACUUUUACAGUUAAAUGCUCUGAUUUGUUCAUUCUCUACUUUAAAAUAAUGCCGAUUUUUUGAAAAAUGAUAUUUGUUACGUUUAUUGAUACGUUUACAACUCAUAGGGUCAUUUAAUUUUUUUUUGAUUUUUGUGUUACCUCCGCACAAGGAAUAAAAAUUAAAUAGUAUAUUAUACAAGU